rnacentral:rRNA from 1 species
UUGUUGUAGGUUUAUUGCAAUGCCUCCGGUCAACGCAUUAAUGCGGAUGAAAGUUCCAUUUAUCUUAGUAAGGGAGUUCUGUAUAGCUUAAGAGAUCAAAUUGAAGAUACUCUAGUAGUUCAAACCGGAUCAUUAUCGGAGAAAUACCUGGGUCUUCCAACUAAUGUUGGCAAAUCCGAGGAGGGAUGCUUUCAUUAUUUCAAAGAUAGGAUUUGGAAGCACGUGCAAGGGUGGAUGGAGAAGUACCUCUCAGUGGAGGAAAAGAGGUUUUAA